rnacentral:miRNA from 1 species
AAGUUGGAAGUUGAUUGACU